AACUCAAUGCCAAACAGGUACUUAGUGAAUUUUCUAUAAUUUUUAGGUUAUUAAUUUUAAUGUUCUCAUUUUUCCAUGUUAAAGUUUGAUGUGUUUAGGCUUCAGAUAUUUUUUCAGCAUUUUUUUUAUUGUUUUAUAUUUUUUAUAGAAUUUUUAAAAUUCCUGUGCAGAUCUGGAAUGUGAUGCAAAAGCCACAACAACUCCAUACAUUCUGCAUUCUUUGAUCCACAAAACUAUAUUCAAUUUCUUAAAGAUUCAGUUUAUUAGGAGACAUAUGAGCUGAAUAAAGUCAAACUCAGGUUACAUAUCAAGAUAAAUUGUUUAAUAAUUGCCCUUGAAUCAGUAAAUGGGUAAGACAACGCUAAGUAUGCUCAUGCCUCAUGCAAAGGUCCUGGAAGCAAUAAAGCCACUGAAAAUAUUCAACCUGAGGAUAAUUAUGCUUCAUGCUAAGAAAUGUUUAACUGAAAAUAUUCAGCUAAUGAACCAGAGCAGUAAGAUACAAAUAUUCAACUACGCUGAAUCAUGCUUCAUGCUAAAACUCAAACAGUAAGAUACAAAUAUUCAACUAC
rnacentral:misc_RNA from 1 species